rnacentral:rRNA from 1 species
AACGAACGCUGGCGGCAUGCCUAACACAUGCAAGUCGAACGAGACCUUCGGGUCUUGGGGCGCACGGGUGCGUAACGCGUGGGAACCUGCCCUUAGGUUAGGAAUAACUCCCCGAAAGGGAUGCUAAUACCGGAUAAUGUCUUCGGACCAAAGAUUUAUCGCCUUUGGAUGGGCCCGCGUUGGAUUAGCUAGUUGGUAGGGUAAAAGCCUACCAAGGCGACGAUGCAUAGCUGGUCUGAGAGGAUGAUCAGCCACACUGGGACUGAGACACGGCCCAGACUCCUACGGGAGGCAGCAGUGGGGAAUAUAGGACGAUGGGCGAAAGCCUGAUCCAGCAAUGCCGCGUAAGUGAUGAAGGCCGUAGGGUUGUAAUGCUCUUUUACCCGGGAUGAUAAUGACAGUACCGGGUGAAUAAGCUCCGGCUAACUCCGUG